rnacentral:rRNA from 1 species
CUUGUGCCAGCCGCCGCGGUAAUACAGAGGGUGCAAGCGUUAAUCGGAAUUACUGGGCGUAAAGCGCGCGUAGGUGGUUCGUUAAGUUGGAUGUGAAAUCCCCGGGCUCAACCUGGGAACUGCAUUCAAAACUGACGAGCUAGAGUAUGGUAGAGGGUGGUGGAAUUUCCUGUGUAGCGGUGAAAUGCGUAGAUAUAGGAAGGAACACCAGUGGCGAAGGCGACCACCUGGACUGAUACUGACACUGAGGUGCGAAAGCGUGGGGAGCAAACAGGAUUAGAUA